rnacentral:lncRNA from 1 species
AAAGAGAAGAAUUCGAAUUGCCGGAAGACGACAUAAAAAGAUUAACAUUAUUACUAGAUUUUGAUGAAGUUCGUAGUUCCAGAAGUAAUUCUAUUGAAAACUUGCUCACCUAUCAACAAGCAGAAAGAUUUUCCCUAGCUUCUGUAGUCAGCGAUAGAAGUGUAGAUUCUAGAAAAUCAUCUACAAUAUGUACACCAAGACUGCGACACACCAGUUUUAACAUUGAUUACGAAAACCUUACGAUUAAUUACCUUACCUUAGAAGCACUGA